UCGGCAGCCAAUCACUGGGCGGAUGAACUAACAUUAUUUCCGCCUAAAAACAUGGGUUAUUCGAGUUCACGUUUCUGCGCAACAUCACGCACAGGUUCACGCACAGAGCAUGCUGUUAGCGCAAACCAGACAAGCCGGUGAACUGGUGUAUGAUGUUGCAUGUGUUUAACAUCCUGGUCCAUGAAUUGACGUUUGCUGCCGGCCAAUCAGGAUGAAUAAAGGGCGUGGCUCCGAUAUAGGGUGAGGUGAUGACGGGCAGAUGGGAGGAGUUUUUUUUAGACAAGCCUAGAUUGUGAGGUCAUCACGUGGGCGUGUCUUAUAACGGGGUUAUUUGGGUUCAGACCAUGGUAGAUAUUUUAACACUAUUUACGUUUACACCGCAAAAGCAUCCUGUUUCACGUCCAUUCUGUGGCCGGUUUUUUCAUGACACGUGUACUUUCCAGCGACUCUACCAUGUACAUGGAUGAAAAGGAACCAUUAUCAGGACCAUCGUGUAGAAGGGACCCAGACAUGGGAGAAGCAUCUUAAUGUGUGUGGUCCUGGUACAUGUGCAUUAGACCCAAUAAAGUUAGGUUAUAAAGUGAAUUUAUA